rnacentral:lncRNA from 1 species
AAGAUUUAAGGACGAACUAAUUCAGAGGUGGAGGAUAAAUGUAAAUUCAUAAAAUAAUACCAAACACCCCAAGACGACCUCCAAGAUAGAAACCCCCAAUAUUGCAAAGCAAAGAUUCUUAAAAAGAUCCAGAAUGCCUAGAAGGAACAAUUUAAACAAGAAGGUUGAAAUUCGAAUGAGAAAGAAAAAAUGAAUAACAUCAAUUCAAUGGUAGUGUAAGACUCUAAUACACACGGAAGUGUUUUAAAUUGAACUAACUAACGGAUUAGGUCCACAAUUGAACUCUAAAUAUAGGCAAAUACCAGCUUUUCGGUCUCGGUCUCUAUGUUCCCUCUCCCUUUCCGUUGCCCUUCCUUGUACUCGUCCCGAUUCCCGACUGCUCUCUCGUGUCGCGGCUCCUCCCGAUGCCUCCCGAAUGAUUCUGCACGACGGGACUGCUCCGCUUUCUAUCUAUUCCUCAUUGUCUGAUCACGGUCUCUCUAUUCCUGUCGGAUCUCGCACCCUCUCCUCUCCAUCUCUAUUUCGGUAUUCGGUUACGACGCCGAUUCCUUCCCAUUCCUCUCCUCUCUGUUCACUUAUCCUUAUCCCUGUCUCUAGGUUCUCGACUACUUCUAGGCCGCUCCCUAUCACUCUUUCUCCAUCUUUCAGAGAUGCACGGUGAGAAGCCCUCAAUUUCCGAUCAUGAGAGUAUCCCCAGACUUCAAAGCGCUUUGAUCGGUGAUUCAAAUCAUCGUCAUUUCUCACUUUUGUUUGGAAAUCCAGAUCGAUUCUUUCUCCCGGGAGUCAGUGCUUCUUGUCCCAUCCAUGACUCCUUCAUGUAUUUAUCUUGGGGUUAAGUUUAGGAUUACAGGUAUUUAUUUGGGGGAUGAAGUUAAGGGUUACAGCUGUGGGAUUGGGGGAUUUAGGAUUACAGUGUUGGAGUUGUGAUUCAAGAAUAUAGCUGUUAGAUUUACACUUUUUCCAUUCACAAGUAUGGGAAUGUUCCAAUUUUCCGCCUAUAAAAAAACCUUCUCACUUGUCACUAAGUAUAUAAACUUUUGUAAAGGAGGUGGCACGAACGGGACUGCUUUAACAGCCAUAGGUACAUUAUUUUUUGUUUGUUGUCGUCAAACUAAAUAAACGAGGAGAAAGAAAUGGUUCGAAUUGGGACGAGCUAAAAAGGUUAAAGCUCAAUUUACUAAAAUUAAAAAUUUAAGAUUUAAUUUGUUACCAAAGUACAAACCUUAGGGAUUUUUUAGUCAUUUUCUCAAUUAAUUUUUAUAAAAAAGAAUAUAUACGAUCUGCAGGAAGUUUUUAUUUUUUAUCUAAGGAAAAAGGAGAUUUCACCCAUUAUACAGGUCACUGAUAAGGAUAACUUGGAAUAAAAGAAAUGAAUUCAUGAAAAUUAUCUCAUUUUCCCCUAUUUGAAUGAUUUUAAAAACAAAUUUUUAUUAAAAUCCAAUUUGAGGAAUCUCACAUAGUAAAGACAAAAAAUAAGUGUCAUUUUAGGGGGGAAAAAGAGUGUAAUUUAAGAAGAAAUUAUAAACUUUGCCAUCAAAGCUCUUUGGACCUUAUUUUUGCCUUCUCCUAAAAUUAUCAUUUUGAAUUAGUUGUUUAUAAUUUGGGGGUUAUUAUUGUAGGGUAUGACGAUAAUUAUUACUUUACCCUUGUCUUUAGGAAACUCAAGGCAUAUAGACAUAAAAGAGAUGUUAAAGACAUUAAGGAAAGAAUUAUAGCUGUGAAAGUAUUAAACGAGGGAAGAGAAAAUUUAUACAACAAUUAAAUGUUUAAAAACAAAAAAAAAGUAAUAAAAAAUAAAAAAACGAUAAUAAAAAAAGAAACUAAUAAGAACCAGAAAAUAAAAUAAAAAAUAGAAACAUAAACUAAUAACAUAAAUAGAAAUAAAAAAUAAAAAUAGAAACAGAAAUGUAAACUAAUAAGUAUACAAGUAUAUAUGAAUGAUAUGACAUGUACAGUCUCUCUAUCAAUGCGAACAUUUAUUUUGAAUGAAUGAAUUUAAUACUAAAUUUUUAUUGGUUACAAAAAUAAAUAUACAUGUCUCACUUUCACACACGAAAAGAAAAAAAAAUUAAAGAAAAAAGGAUUUCCAAAAACGGCGUGACGCCACCAAGUGCUGCGUGGACAUUGGUACACAUGCAAAGUUAAAACAAGGAGAAAAUGGGCAUUUGGUUGGAUUUUUUUGUUAAAAUUUAAAAACUGGGCUCAAUUGUGACAAAAUCAUGAUAUAUGGAAGUACAAUUUAAUUUCAAAACGUAAAUGGGGUGAGAGUGUGAUUUUAGUGAAAUCCAAGGGGUGUCAGUGAAAUUUACCCUAAUUUAUAUGAUAUCUAAACUAUUUAUAGGGAUAUAUGUUGAAGAUUUGUAUGUAUUCCGUCAAAAAUUUAGCUAGGAAAUCACUAAAAAAUUAUCCAUAUUACUAAUAAAAUAACCCAUAAUUAUUAUUUAUUUCUUAAUAUACUAUUUUUUUUUGGUUAUGUCGCCAUUUAUAAAAAGAGUAAAUUAUAUUUUGCACCCUUAUACUUGUACCAAAAUAUAUUUUUAUAUCAUUGAAAGGAAAAAUAAUAAUUGUUAAAAAAAAGUAUGAUUGUUUUGAAAAUAUAUUAUUUUAAGAAAUACUUCCGUUGGACCAAUAAAACCUUAUUAAAACUAUGGGAGUUAAAAAAAAAUUAUAGCAUAGAAUCAAUAAAUAGUAAAAGAAUAAUAAAUAAAUAAUAGAAAAAUAGAAAAAUAGAACAAAACAGAUAAGUGUUAAAAAAAACGACUAGUUACAAUUUAAAUUAUUGAUUUUGAGUUAUAAUUUAGCUCUUAAUUGAUGGGAUGGUGUGGAUGCUCAACUAUUUAAGGCUGUUUGGCAGGAAGCAUAUGGGGGGGAUAACUUUUGAAUGGGAUAAUUUUUAGAGAGGGGAUAAACUUUUAAUUUAUUGGAUGCUUUUUAGGAAUGGGUGAUUAAGGGUGGAGGAUAAGGAGAAAAUAUAUAUAGAUAAACAAAAUAUAAAACAUUUAGAUAUUAAACAUAUAGAUUUAUUUCUCUCCUCUAUAUAAAAAAAACUUUAGAUUUUAUUUGUAUUUAUAUAUUUUUUUUAUUAUCCUCCACACCCCUUAUCUUCGGAUACUUUUAGUUAGGGUUAGGCCACCCAAAAAUAAAUCUGCCUUUAUCCACCUCCGGGGCCAUAAAUUAUCCACCUCCAUAUCUGCAGCCAAACGCCGGGAAGAAAAAUAUCCGGGAAAAAAGUUAUUCCAUCUAAAUCGAUAGCCAAACAACCCUUGGGUUUAUAGCAGUUACGAUAGUCAUCCCCCAUUUGAUGAACCGUUAAAAUUCUAAUACUAACAAUACUUCCAAGCAUUGAGGUCCUGUUUGGAUGGCUAGAAUCCUCAAUUCGGAAUGGGAAUCACUUUUUUGGGUUUCUCAUUCCUAUAUUCAAAAAUUCAAGAAUCCGUUGUAGAAAAAAAAAAAUAAUAUUAUAUUCAUUUGUUUGGAAAAAAAAAAAAAACAGAAUAGAAAACAGAAAUCAAAAACUGAAAAUAGCAUAAUAAAUGAAAAAUAGAAAAAAGAAACAUAAAAGAAUAGGAAUAGAAAUGAAAGAUAGAAAGAGACGAGAAAAAAAAAUAAAAAGAAAAAAUCUAAAAAUUGAAAAUAGAAAAAAAAUGAAAAAAGAUAGAACUAGAAACUAAUAGAAAAAGAUAAAAAAUAGAAAAAGAAAAUAAAAAGAAAAAAAGAGAAAUUAAAUAAAAAAAGAGAAACUAAAAACAGAAAUAAAAACUAAAAUUAAAAAUACAAUCAGAAAAUCGAAAUAGAAACAAAAAAGUAGAAAUAUGAAUUGAAAACAUAAAAUCGAAACAGAAAUAGAAAAAAAACAUAAAUAGAAAGAAAUAGAAACUGAGAACGAAAAUAAAAAUGCAAAUAAAAAUAAAAAUAAAAAUAAAAAUUGGAAAUCAAAACAGAAGUGAAAACGCUAGAAAUUAAAAAUAAAAAUGUAAAAAAUAUAAACUAAAACCAAAAAAUAAAAAUAAAAAUAAAAUCGGAGAAUAGAAAUAGAAAAAAAAAACAAAAAAAUUAAAAAAAUAAACAAAAACCAAAAACAGAAAUACAAAUACAAAUAGAAAUGAAAUAAAAAGGAAAACCAAAAAAAUAAAACAAAAAUUAAAAGCAAAAAAAAAAAAUUUGUGAGAAAUAAAACUGAAAAUAAAAAAUAAAAAAUAAGAACAUUAAAAAACUAAAAAAAAUAAUUGUAAACUAAACACAAAAAAUAGAAAUAGAAAAAGAUAAAAAAUAGUAAACAAAAAAAAUUAUAAACUGAAAAUACAAACAUGAAAAACUAAAUGAAGAAAUAGAAAAACUUAAAUUAAAAAUCAGAUUUAACUGUAAAACACGAAAACAGAAAACAAAAAAAAUAAAAAUAAAAAAAUAAAAAUAAAAAAAAAAUAAAAACAAAUGUAAAAAAAACACAAAAAAACGAAAGAGAAAAUAGAAAAAAACGAAAUAAAAAACAGAGAUAAAGAAUAAAGAGUAAAGAAUAGAAAUAAAAAGAAAAUAAAAUAAAAAAAUAAUUUAAGAUUAAAAAUUUAAAAUAGAAACUAAAAAUAAAAAAUUAACAACAGAAAGAGAAAGAGAAAGAGAAAUAACAAAUAUGCGGACAGUAAAAAAACUAAAAACAUAAACAGGAAGCUGAAAUAAAAUUAAAAGCAGACAAUAAAUAUGAAAAACAAAUAAAUAAACAACUAAAAAACAUACAUGGAAAUAGAAAUAAAACCUGAAAAAAAUAAGAAAUAGAAAUGAAAAUUAAAAAAUAAAAGAAACCAAACAAUAAAACAUUGACAAUGAAAUGAAAAUAAAAUUAAGAACUAAAUAGAAGUUGAAAUAAAACUAAAAAUAAAAAUAAAAAAUAAACAAAUAAAAAACUUAAAAAAACAGAAUAGAAGAACUAGAAAAAAAAAUUGGAAAAAUAUAAAAGCUAAAAAGAAGAAGAAAAAAAAAGAAUACAAAAUAGGCAUAAAAAAGAGCCAUAAUGUAGAAAUAAAAAAAAGAGAAAAGAAAUUAAAAAUGGCCAUAAACAAAGAAAUUAAAAGUGAAAAUAGAAUUAUAAAGAAAAACAGAAAUAGGAAUGACAAAAAAGAAAUAGAAAUAGAAAACAUAAAACGAACCAGAAAACAAAAUCCCCUUUGCAAAAGACUGAAUAUAAAAAGAAAUAGAAAAUAAAAUUAAACAAACGAAAUAAAAAUAUAAACAGAAUGAAAUCAAAAAUAGAAGUAGAGUAUAAACAAGAAUACAAAUCGAAAUAGAAUUAAAAAAUAAAAAGAAAAAUUAGAAAAAAGGGAAAAAGAAAAGAAAAGAAAAAAAAGAGAAGUUAAAAAAGAAAAUAACAAAUAAGAAAAUUUCAAAAUAAGAAUAAAUUUAGAAAUAGAUAAUUAAAUAAAAACUAAAAUGAAAUCGAAUCCACUAAACAGAUAGAAAAUAGAAAUAAAAAAAAAAAAAAAACAGGAAAAAAAAACGAAAUAGAUAUUUAAAUAAACAUUAAAUAUAUAAAAAAAAGAAAAAUUAAAACUUAAACUAAAACUAAAAAUUAAAAAAUAGAAAUAGAAACUUAAAAGAUAAUAUAAAUUUAAAAACAUAAAAUAACUGAAAACAUAAAUAAAAUAAAAAAUUAAAACAUAAAUUAGAAAUUGAAAUACAUAACAAAAAGUAGAAAUAAAAGUAGAAAUAGAAAACAAAAAUAGGAAUAGAAGCAGAAAAUAAAAAUAGAAAUAGAAAAAAAUAUAUAUAAGAUAUAAACUAAAAAAAUAGAAUAAAAACUGAAAAUAAAAAUAGAAAUCGAUAAAAUCAAAAAAAAAUAGAAAUAGAAACAAAAAUUAAAAAAUGAGAACAUAAAAAGAAAUAAAAAUAUAAAGAUAAAAUUAUAAGAAAAAAAAAUAGAAAAAAAUUUUAAAAUUUGAGACAUAAAAACACUGAAAAACAUAAUAGAAACAAAAAUUAAAAUAAAAAUCUUAAAUAGAAAUUUAAAAUAAAAAUAGAAAUAUAAACUAAAAAUAGAAUCAGAAAACAUAAAUAGAAUCAAAAAUAGAAAUAGAAAAAACAAAAACAAAAAAUACAUAAAAAAAUCUAAACUACAAAAAAUAAAAUAUAAAAAUAAAAACAAAAAAAUAAAAAAAGUGAGAAAAAUAAAAAGAGAGAAAUAAAAAUAAAAAAUAAAAAAUAAAAAAUUGAGAACAUAAAAACUAAAAUAUUACAUGUAGGAAGAGAAGUUGUUCCUCUUAAAAGAUAGCUAAUUGCAAAAAUAAAGAAAAAAAAUUUCUAACUUUAGCCGUCAGAGUUACUACUAAUAACUACUAUAAAGGAAGUAACCAUAGCGUGUUUCAAUGGCUGUGUACUAGAUUAAUUAGCUAAAGCCAACCUAGAAUACAAAUCUUUAUACAGAUAUCUAGGGCAAAGAUAGAACCCCAUAACGCGAGAUGGUUGAAUAGAUCAAAUAUUUUAGAUUAGCUGAAAUUAUAUUCUUAUAUGCUAACAAAAACAUAAAAUAGAAAUUGAAAUACAAAACAAAAAGUAAAAAUAAAAAUAAAAAUAAAAUCAGAAAACAUAAAUAGGAAUAGAUGUAGAAAAAAAUAGAAAUAGAAGUAGAAAAAAAAUAUAAAAUAUAAACUAAAAAAAAUAGAAUAAAAAUAUAAAUUAAAAACAGACUUAGAAAAAUAAUAGAAAUUGAAAAAAAAUAUAUAAAUGAAAACUAAAACUAAAACUAGAAAUAGGAAUAAAAUCAAAAAAUAAAAUAAAAUAGAAACAAAAAAUAAAAAAUAAAAUUUGAGAACAUAAAAAACAAUGAAAACAUAAAAAAAAUAGAAAUAUAAAAUCCACAUAAACAUCAAAAAAAAUUGAGAACAUAUAAAACAACUAAAACAUAAAUCGAAACAUAAAAUUAUCCUUAAAAAAUAAAUGAGAAAUUAAAAAAUGAAAAUAGAAAUAGAAACAAACAAAACAAAAAAAUCCCUAAAAAAAAAAAAACAAAUAACAAAAUAAAAUCGAAUAAAAAAUAAAAAAUUGAGAACCAAAAAUCUGAUAACCCUAAAUAAAAACAUAAAAUAAAAAACAAAAGCAAAAAAAUAAAAUUCAAAAAAACGGAAAAUAGCACUCGAACCAAGAAAUAACAACAGAAAACAGACAAAAAUCUAGAAAAAAUAGCAAAUAAAACUCGCAACCAAAAAAGGAAAACAGAAAUAGAAAUAAAAAUAACAAAUAAAAAUAAACACCCACACAAAAACACCCAAUCUAAAACUUAACAAUAACAUUAAAACUAAAACAGCGCGACUCCAACACCUUUAACAAUUGAUUAAAUACAAACUAACACACUCCAGGUCGAAACCUACGUGUGCCCCUUAACAGAUAGCUCCUUCCCAACAAAAAAAGGAAAAAUAAUUCUAACUUUGCCUUUAGGGUUGGUAACCUAAUAAACUAUUGUAACUGAAGUAACUUUAGUGUGUUUCGAUAGUUCGUAAAGUCACUACUUAACAACCAAACGGAACUACUAAUAUUUUUAUAGAUACUUAGGCCAUAGGAAAGAACUGUGGAUACAGUCCAUGGGAGCCAAGACAAUUAAGCCAAAUAGAAAGCCCCAGGACCAAGGCUUCAUGCCUGCCAAUUCUUCAAUCCUCUCUUCCAGAAGCGCCCCCUCCCCAAUUGACAUCUGUCAGAAGACAAAGUCUUCUGAGAGAGGCGGGAGGAAAAGAAUGGCAGAGAGAGAAGGAUGCGGCUGGUGAUUGUCAACAUGGAGCCGAUCUACUCGAUAAGGAGAGAGAUCAGAUGAGAGGAAGCGAGUGGCGGGAGAAGUCAGAGAGUGAGGAAGAGGGCAGUAUAGAUUGAGUGAGUGCUGUGAGUGAAGGAGCGCCGAUGUGAGAUAGAGAGAAGAGUGAGUUGAGUGUGAUAUCCUCCUUGGUAUUUAUUGUACUUCCAGUUCUGAUAGUGAAUUCAACAAUUCCCUCCGUGACGUAGGCAUUGUGGCCGAACCACGUAAUUCUUGUCUUGGGUGUGUGUUGUGUUGGUUUCGAGUGAUGGUAACCGUUGUUGGGGCACAACAAUUGGUAUCAGGCCAAUUCGAGUCACGGGAGGUCACCGGAGGGCCACCGCGAGUCACAUUUCACUUCUGACCAAUUCGAAUGCAAAACUUGAGAUUUGAGUAUACCAUCACCGUCGUCUCUGUCGAUACGAAGCUCCAGCACCAAACGGAGCAAAAUCGGACUCCAAACGAGCCCUCAGCGCCGAUUGAAAAGGUCGGAGCAUCAGAUCCACGGCCACACGCGCGCGAGAGGGUGAAGACGACUGAGCUUCACGCUCCACGCGCUGCCCGCGCCCGCACGGCAUCGAGGAGGCAUGUCGCGCGGCCCAGCGCCAACACGCGCGCCCAAGUGGCUCACGCGCACGCACGCGCCUUGCACGCGCCAGCAAGUGGCGGCAAGCGCUGACACGCGCCUCCACGCGCCAGCAAGUUGAUCGUGAGUGAGCCCGAGCUGCUACGCGCUCGAGCGCGCGAACCCUCGCGUUUGAUAACGCGCGAGCCGACUAGAGCCGGAACGCGCCGAUCCCGGUCAACCAAGAGCCGUUGACCGUUGACCCGAGCCGCUUACCGAUCAACCUGAGCCGUUGGACGAGUGACCAGCCGAGCCGCGACCAGUCAAGUCCAGCGUUAACCAGCCGCCGCUGACCGUUGACUGGUCAACGUUGGACCUUAACCAGCCGUUUGACCCGAAAAGUGAUGCGUGAAAUUACACUUGCGGUCCCUGAACUUCUGAUAUUUUCAUUUGGUCCCUGAAGUUUGGGACAUGCAGUUUGGGUCCCCCGGACUUUGGAAAUUGCAAGAGGUCCCUGGAAAAAUUGAAAAUUUCAAUUUUAGUCCCUAAAGUUUCAAUUCGAGCAAUUUGGGUCCCAGAAGGUCUGAUUGUUUUGCCGAAAAAGCCUCUCUGAGUUUUCUCGGCGUCGGAUCCAUCCGCGGGUCGGUUUCGAAGAUUUUGACUUCUAUUCUAGAGACGUAAUAUGGCGGAGUCUAAUUUGGGAGCUAUGAUAUGCUUUCAGCUACAAAUUCGCUUCUAUGGAAAACCGAGGAUGGAGACAUACUAUUUUGCAAAGAGAUUUGCAUGAUCCUUAGAGAGUAAAGGAGAAAAACGGCAGAGAAGAAAGGAUGAGGAGUGGACGCAGAGAACAGAAAAUAAUCGGGCUAAUCGAAGUGCAUUGGACACGAGGUGUUCCACCACGAGCCAAGAGAGAGUGCUUACGAUUUAGGACCAAAUGGAGAAGAAAUGUACCAGCGAAGGACAUCUCGGAACAGGCCUUUAUUGAUGAGGAGGCUGUAAAUUUGAAACUAAGAGAGGGACCGUGGGAAAUUACAAGUGAGUUCCAGAAUUUGGUCAACCAAUGAGCAGUGUUGACCGAAUAUUUGACGAUAGAUGCAGGAACUAUGCUUUGGAGUUCUUUACUGAAGUUGGGAGACAUUGGUGGGUUCUCUCAAUAAUUCGGCGCAGGAUGGGAAGUGACCUUUGAAUACAGUCAAGGAUGCCUAUUUUCAACGAAGCAGCACGGCCGCAGAGAUGGGAAGACGAGCGAAGUGGUCGCAGGCCUACAUCCAGACGACGCCGGGAAAGAGGUCGAGGGUCACCAGAGGAAUAAUGGGAGCGGCGGGCGAGGUCACAUCAGGGGGUAGCCGUUUUACGUGUUUUUUCGGGAGCAAGAAGCGGCUUAUGAAGAGACAUUGCCCAACGUAUCCAGCACAGAUCCCAGUCUUCAGGAGACCGCAUCCGCUCGGCAUCCCGUGAUGACCGCUUCCGAUCCUGAUGCAUUCCUCGUAUCAUCGGCAGAUAGAUCAGCCUGGGUAUUGGAUUCAGACGUGCUACCAUUUUUGUAGCGACAGGCAGAUGCUCCACAUAGUCACACUGCGAGGGCCUUGUACGGCUGGCCGAACAACAGCCGACCCAAGUUGGUGCCAGGGCCCAGUCCGUUCCGCACUGGCAGACGGAGGUAUGUCACGUGACCGAGGUACGGCAUGUUCCCCAACCUACGCAGCAUUUAAUUCCCUCGGCAUGCUAGAUUCAAUGGGUGCGCAUUGCCGCCGGGCGGGAAUCUUGCGAAUUCCCCAGGCAAACACCGAGCUGCUGACGGGGACCGGCCGAUCAAGGACAUCUCGCCUGGAGGGCCUGUCAACGGCCGCGGAUGCUGUCCGACAUAGGUCCCGUGCUAUAAGACGGGACGGAAUGGACAAGGGAAGCAACAGUGCACACCGGCACACAAAGCACGCGCAGAGACACCUGGAGGCGCAGAGUGGUACGCAAGGAGCUGCUUGAGAAAGUGCGAAGUCUGACCGCGAAAAGACCAGUGCGCCAGUGCCGGACGUCCCCUAGCACAAGGUCCAGCGGAAGGAGGACAAAGUCGAUUCGACGGUUGUAAAUCGACAGCGCGACGUCGCCGAAACGAGUCUCUUUUGCUUCGAUUGAUUCGUGGCAGUGAUUUUCAGAUGUGUACACAAGGGAGGAGAGAGCGAGCCCCGACGACUCGCAAAGUGAUGUACUUUGCGGAAGCUCUCCGUGAGGGGGAGCUGAGCACCUAAGGAAGAAGGUGCAGGCACUUCAGAUGGCGUGGGCAUUGCCCAUGAGAGGGCAAGAUUAUCUCGGAUGCAGUUUGCAGAUCUUACGGGGGAGCUGGAUCAGACGUUGUCAGGAUGGAAACUUGAAGAGUCAGAGUCCCCGUCCAAUGGGGCUGGAGGGGGCGAUUGUUGGAUCCAGCCCAGGGAGCCAAGCCCAUUAAGCCAAAUAGAAAGCCCAAGGCCCAAGUCUUCCAUGCUUGCAAUUCCUUCAUCCUCUCUUCCAGAAGCAGCCUCAAGUUGGCAAUAUGUCAGAGACAAAGUCUCUGAUAGAGGCGGAGGAAGGAAAAUAAUGGCAGAGGAGAGACGGAUCGGCUGGUGAUAUGUCAACAAUGGAGGCGAUCCUCAUAAGGGAGCAGAGAAGAGAGGGGAAGUGAGUGGGGGAUAAGUCCAGAGAGUGAGGGAAGAGGGCUGUAUAAAUUGAGUGAGUGCCGGAGUGAAGAGAGCAAGACUUGAGAUAGAGGAAGAGUGAGUGAGUGUGUCUCCUCCUUUGUAUUUAUUUAAUCAUUUUGAUAGUGAAUAACAGAUUCUCCUCCGUGGACGUAGGCAUUGUUGGCCGACACGUAAAAUCUUGUUUGUGUGUGUGGGGAUGUUAGUGGAGUGACUGGUAACUCGUGUGGGCACAACAAGAAACCCCAUAAUGCUAAGAUGGUUGAUAAGAAUAAGUCUUAGAUAAGCUGCCUUUCUAUAUUCCUUGUAAUAGGAAGGUUUGACAGCCUCGAACACUCACGCCUUGGUCUCAAUGGAUUCUCCAUUGACCAAAAAAAAGUUGGCCCAUUUAUUAAAAGAAGAAUAUGCAAAAUCACAAGGGAGCAAUUCAGUUCGGAAAAUAAUCAAAACAAAAUAGAGAGAGAUGGCGGUCAUGUGAGUCAUGCAAAAGUCUUGAACACGCUAGAGAGAGAGAGCAACACUAACUCUUCUAUAUAUUAUCUUCCAAUCCCAUUUGACCUCUUUUUAUUUUGUUAUUUUAUUUUUAUCUAUUGUUCGACAAAAUUAUUAAUUAUAUUGAAAGGGAAACAAGUUUUGAUAACUUCAUCCUGAAAACUAACAGGUGUAUAUUUUCAAUGAACAUACGAUAAUUAAAGUUUUUUUCGACCUAUCGUGGGGUGAAAUGUAUUUUCCCAUAGUACUACUGCUAACAAGUAACAAUUAUGACAAAUAUAAAAUAUAUAAAGCUUCUUCCUUACCUUCAUUAGCCGAGAAAUGAUUGAAACAUAGACUGGGUAGUGGGUAUAUUUUGAUCAAGUUUUUUUUCCUUUUUUAUUUUUUUUUUUUCUCCCUUUUUUAAAAAAAAAAAGACAAAUUUUAGUUAAAUAUAAAUAUAAAUAUGAAUAGGGAGCAUUGUCAAUCACCAUUUGGAGAAUAUAUUGAUCAAUAAUAAGGAUCAUAAAAGUUGCGUCAAUAGUUAGAAUGUUCCCUUUAUAUUGAAAGAGAUUGGGUAAUCUAUAAUUUAGAUAAGAAUCAUUAUCGGAUAAGAAUUUGGAACUAUUCAAUAAUAGGAUCAUAGUUCUAGAAACGACCGGACAUUGAUAACGGUCAAAGCACAGUUAAACGGUCAUGUUCAACCAGGUUCAACCGGAUUUAUAAUUAAUUAAAAAUAAAUUAUAUAUUUUAUUAUAAAUAAUAAAAAAUAUUUGUUGUACCCAUUUAUAGUAAAAAUUAAUCAUAGUAAAAAUAUUAAAAAAUUAACAAAUUCAAUUCAAAAUUUGAGGUCAACCUGUAAAAAUUAAACCUUCAAUUGUUCUGUUUAAAAAAACCGCGGUUCAAUCAGGUUAGCUUGGAUUUCCGUAAAAUAGUGUAACGAAAACCGGUUUAAUACCGAUUUCCGGUUGAACCGGUCAGUCGCUCGAUUUAAUAAUAUGAAUAGGAGAAACAAGGAUAUGGAUAU